GUCUCCGGCCAUGCCACCCUGAACGUACCCAAUCUCGGCUGAUCUCGGAAGCUAAGCAGGGUCGGGCCUGGUUAGUACUUGGAUGGGAGACCACCUAGGAAGAUCAGGUGCUGUAGGCG
rnacentral:rRNA from 1 species